AUGCACACACACACAACACACACAAACCACACACACAACAACCACACACACCACAACCACACACACACCCACACACACACACACAACCACACACACGCACACACACACGCACACACACACACCACAACCACACACCACACACACACGCACACACACAACCACACACACACAACCACCACACACACGCACACACACACCACACACACAACUGCACACACACACACGCACACACACACCACACAACCACACACACACACACACACAACCAAUACAACCACACACACACAACCACACACACACAACCACAACACACACACACACACCACACACACACCACACACACACAACCACACACACACCCGCACACACACACACACAACCACCACACACACACACACAACCACACACACAACCACACACACAUGCACACACACAUGCACACACACACACGCACACACACAACCACACACACACAACCACACACACGCACACACACACACAACCACACCACACACAACCACACACACAUGCACACACACACACAUAACCACAUGCACACACACACAACACACACACACCCGCACACACACAACCACACACACACGCACACACACACGCACACACACACCAACCACACACACACGCACACACACGCACACACAACCACACACACACAUGCACACACACACACACCACACACACAACCACACACAACACACACAACCACACACACACAUGCACACACACAACACACACACACAACCACCACACACACAAACCACACACACACAACCACACCACACACAACCACACACACAUGCACACACACACCACACACAACCACCACACACACAACACACACACAACACACACACAACCACAACACACACACACACACACAACCACCCACACAACCACACACACACACACCACACCACACACACACACAACCACACUCACACAACCACACACACACACACACACACCACACACAACCACACGCACACAACCACACACACACACACAACCACACCCACCCACAACCACCCACACAACCACACACCACACACACGCACACACACAACCACACACACAUGCACACACACAUGCACACACACACACACCACACACAACCACACACACACAACAACCACACACACAUGCACACACACACACAACCACACACACAACCACACAACCACACACAUACAACCACACACACACCACAACCACACACAUACAACCACACACACAACCGCACACACACAACUGCACACACACCCAAAUACAACCACACACACACAAUCACACACACACACCACACACACACACACAACCACACACACACCACACAACCACACCCACCCACAACCACCCACACAACCACACACACACAAUACCACACACACACAACAACCACACACACACCACACACAACCACCACACACACACAACCACACACACAACCACACCACACCACACACAACACACACACAACCACACACACACCACACACAACCACACACCACACACAACACACACACACGCACACACAACCACACACCACACACACACAACACACACACAACCAACACACACACACACACACCACAACCACACGCACACAACCACACACAUACAACCACACCACACACAACACACACAACCACACACCACACACAACCACCACACACACAACCACACCCACCCACACACACAACCACACACACACACACCACAACCACACACACAACCACCACACAACCACACACACAUAACCACACGCACACACACAACCACACACACACAACCACACACACACACACUGCACACACACCACACACAACCACCACACACACACACACACACACAGCCACACACAACCACACACACACAACCACCCACAGACAACCACACCCACAGAACCACACCCACAACCACACACAUACAACCACACACACACAGCCACUCACACAACCACACACACAACCACACACACAACACACACACAACCACCACACACACAACAACCACACACAACAACCACACACAACCACACAACCACACACACACCACAACCACACACACCACACACACACACACAACACACACACACAGCAACACACACACAACCACAAACACACACACGCACACACACAACCACACAAAACCACACAUACACACACCACCCACGACUGGACAACACAUACCCUCCAGGCAUCAUGA
ensembl:lncRNA